rnacentral:rRNA from 1 species
GACGAACGCUGGCGGCGUGCCUAAUACAUGCAAGUAGAACGCUGAAGGAGGAGCUUGCUUCUCCGGAUGAGUUGCGAACGGGUGAGUAACGCGUAGGUAACCUGCCUGGUAGCGGGGGAUAACUAUUGGAAACGAUAGCUAAUACCGCAUAAGAGUAGAUGUCGCAUGACAUUUGCUUAAAAGGUGCAACUGCACCACUACCAGAUGGACCUGCGUUGUAUUAGCUAGUUGGUGAGGUAACGGCUCACCAAGGCAACGAUACAUAGCCGACCUGAGAGGGUGAUCGGCCACACUGGGACUGAGACACGGCCCAGACUCCUACGGGAGGCAGCAGUAGGGAAUCUUCGGCAAUGGACGGAAGUCUGACCGAGCAACGCCGCGUGAGUGAAGAAGGGUUUCGGAUCGUAAAGCUCUGUUGUAAGAGAAGAACGAGUGUGAGAGUGGAAAGUUCACACUGUGACGGUAGCUUACCAGAAAGGGACGGCUAACUACGUG